CAUCGUGACCGUUGAUCGCUCUCAAGGGCUUGUGUUUCACCCGCCUUUUUCAAUUUUAUUAAGGGCAUUGUUGGUAAUUUUGCCAGUUGAAUGACAUUUCUCCUGUUCUUUUCGCAGUUCUUUUGUUUCUCUCUCCUCUCUUGCACUUUCUCUCUCUACCCUCAACUCUCUCUGUAUUUUCGUUUCUCUUAUAUCGAAAUCGGGAUUUUUUUCUUCGCUCAUCAGUUUUUUGCUGUGAUUCUUUGAUUUUCGUCAUUGUUUGAGUAACCUCUUAAUCACAACCGCAAGGAUCUGUGCCUAUAGGAUCGAAACUGGUCUCUUGGAACCUUCAUUGACUAUUAGAUAUGUGCUGGACAAAUACUAGUUAGUUGCAUUGAAGGUCAUAUAUAUAACCCAUGCAGUAGUCUUUCUUAUCUAAUGCCUGUUAUGCCUAUCCUUAUAUAGCUCAUGGGAGGAUGAUGUUGAUUUGAUCAUUAUGACUCGCUAAUUAAUGAUGCAAUGCCUCACUCACUUGAUGUUGAUCACGUCAUCAUGAUCAGCUUGAGUUUUCACAAUUGAACAUGUGAAGAUUAGCCCGAAAAAUGAUCGGGUUGAGUGUUGCAGCUGCUGCCACGUAGGCCUUGCCAAGGCUGCAGCUGCUGCUGCUGCCCUGCAGACCCUAUCAAGGUUGCAGCUGUUGCCUUAGAGGCUCUGCCAAGGCUGCAGCUGCUGCCCUGGAGGCUCUGCCAAGCCUGCACCUGCUGCUCUACCAAUGCAAGGAUGUUGCUGCUGCCCUGCAGGCCCUGCCAAGGUUGCUGCUACAGCUGCUGCCCUGCCAAGGCUGCUGUUGCAGCUACUGCCCCGACAUGGUCUGCUGUUGCAGCUGCUGCCCCGACAUGGUCUGCUGCUGCAGCUGCUGCCCUGCCGUGGCUUGCUACUACAACUGCUACUUUUGCCCUGCCAAGGUUGCUGCUGCAACUAUAUAAAUAUUAGUUGACCCUAGCCCUACAUUAUUCAGAUCAAUCGGCUUUGCUUAAGGAUAUUUGGAGUGGUAGUUGCUGCACUUUGACUAGGAUUUGAGCAUAUACUCUAUUUUUUUUUAUUUAUUUAUUUCUUAUGAUAUACUUUGAUUUACUCUUAAACUGAUGUAUAAUUUAUCUUACUAGCUUUAAUGCUAAUGUUACCUUUAAUGCUUCUCUUAUUUA